UUAGGUAGACCACAUAUUGAUCUUUCAAAUCAUAUUAGAAAAAAAUUUCCAAUUUAGAUGUAUGGAAACAAGUAGUAAGACUGCAACAAUUUUAGAAAUUAUUUCUUCUGAUUUCUGAUUUUUUUUUUUUGAACCCAGGGAUGCUUAAACAAUGAGCCACAUCCCCACCACUUUAUUUUUUAUUUUAAGACAGGGUCUUGCUAAAUUGCUUAGAGCCUUGCUAAAUUGCUGAGGCUGGCUUUGAACUUAAAAUCCUCCUCCUGCUGGGAGGAUCCUGAGCCACUGGGAUUUGAUUUCUGAGUUCUUUAGCCUUUAAGAUUCAGCUCAAAUGUUAUCUCCUCUAUAAAACUUUUCCUGAUUCUGCUAAGCUGUAGUUCACUGGUCCUUCCUAUGUGUACCUGUAGACUUUAUAAAACUUAAAAUGCCGCUAGAACAUAAGAUUAUAUUAUAAUUGCAUCUAAGUCACUUAUUAGACUGUAAAUUCCUAGAGGAUUUACCACUGAGCUACAUCUCCAGCUCUUUGUAUUUUUAAUUUUGAGACAGAUUCUCACUAAAUUGCUGAGAAUCUUGCUAAGUUGCUGAAGCUAUUUCUGAACUUACAAUCCUCCUGCCUCAGCCUCCUGAGUCUCUGGAAUUAUAGGCAUGUACCACUGUGCUUGAUGGGUUUGCAGUUUUAUUUGUGUGUGUACAGUGCCUGGCAUAUAGUGUAUACUCAAUAAGAACUUUGUGGAUUAAUGAACUUAAUCUUUUAAAAAGAAACCCAUAAUUUGGGAUGGGGUUGUAGCUCAGUGGUAGAGUGUUUGCCUCUCAUGUGAAAUACUGGGUUUGAUCCUCAGCACCACAUAAAAAUAAAUAAAUAAAAUGAUAGUAUUGCGUCCAUCUACAACUAAAAAGAUAAAGAAAGAAAGAAAACCACAAUUUUGGUACUGGGGAUUGAACCCAGGGGCACUUUACCACAUUUCUAGCCCUGUUUUGUAUUUUAUUUUGAGACAGGGUCUCACUGAGUUGUUUAGCACCUCACUUUUGUUGAGGCUGGCUUUGAAUUUGUGAUCCUCCUGCCUCAGUCUCCUCAGCCACAGUGCCCAGCCCAAAACCACAAUUUAAAUAAGUAAAUUAGGAUAUGAGUCUUUAUUUUAUAACAUGUUCACUGUACAAAAUAAUUCAGUUUAUAAUUGUUUUAUAUAGCUCAUGUCUUUAGUGCAUUUGAAAUUCAUUCAUUUCAUGGCUUUUUCUUUUCUUUCUGGGAAUACAUUCAUAUUAGUAUCAUUUUUCAUAAAUGUGUAUGCAAACACAUUUACCUUGUCCUCCUUUACUAGGGAUGUUUCUUAUAUUUAAAAAGAAAAAAAUAUAGUUUUGUUACACAUUGGUGAUGUUUUUCCCUCCAAAUAUCUUUCUACAGGAGAACACUAAGUGGUUAUUCAUCUAGUUUUUUUGUUUGUUAUAUUUUAAGCAAUUGGUUCCAAAAUACAUUCAAAUUGCAUGUCCUGUUCCUCAUAAAUUGCUUUCUUUGCUUAAGUUUCUCACUCAGACCACCAGCAAUCUUUUAGGUACUUUUCCUACCUGCUAAUGGUAGCUUUUAUUGAUUUACUUACUGUAACUCUUUUCUUUCUCUUUGAUUCUUUCAUUUAAUAUAUCUCUAUGUCUGCCUGAUACUGUUUUCUUUUCAAGGUUUUUAUGCUUUUAGGAUGAUCUUUCUUGGUCUCUUUUUCUACUGUUUUAGAUGCCUUGAUUCUGUUUCUCCUUAGCAAAGAACUUAAUGGAAGGAGGAAGUGAAUAUUAUAAGGGACUUUUUGAAGAAGAUUUAUAUAGAAUAUUAAAAAGCAUAUAGAUCCUGGUUCUUACUAUGUAACUCGUGUUCCAAAAAACAUUUUUAUAAAUAUUUAGAGCCAUUCUUAGAGACUAUUAAAUGGGAUUUGUUUAAAUUUCGUAGACAAGAGGAAAAAGGGAGCAUUGAGAUUUGGCAAUUGUUAAAUCAAAUUAUGGGUUAAUGGGAGUUUAUUAUUUUCUAUUGUUAUUUUUAUGUAUACUAAAAUUUUUUACAAAGUUUAAAAAAUUAAGAAUAAUUUUUCAGUCCUUUUGACCUAGCAAUCUCAUUUUUUGUAUUUGUCCUCCAGUACAUAAGGGUACACAUAUAAAGAUAUUAAUUACAACAUUAUUUGAAUUGGAAAGGAAAAUAGUCUGGAAACAGUUUGACACAUCUACUCCCAUCACCAAUGGAAUUGCUGGGUAAAUUAUGGUGUAUCCAUCAAUGGAUUAUUUUGUAGUAAUUUAAAAAAUGAACUGAAUUAUAUGCUGUAUUCUGGAGAGGUAUCCAAGAUGUAUUGUUCAGUGGACUGAAUAAUGUGUAUGAUAGAAUUCCACUUUUAUAUUAAAAAACCCUGUGAAUAUGGAAAAAGCUGUGAAAAUAUAUAUACCAAAUUAUCAAUAUUAGUUUUUCUCAGGAAAUUGAGACUCAAAGGGAUAGGGUAGAGGAAAAUUUCUUCUUAUUUAUUAAUCUUUGCAUUGUUGAAUUUGUUUUGAGUAUAUGCUAUUUUGGGGAAAAUGUAAUAAAGAUUUUUUAAAUAUACAUAAAUAAAAUAUUUUAAAAGUGUCAGUUUAUCUAUGAUAAUAAAAUCUCCUUUUUAAAAAUGUAAUGAAAACAUAUACGCAUAGGGAACCAAAUAAUAAAUUAGAUUAUAAGUUGCCUUCAAACAAAAUAAAUGAAUUGAUAAAUAAUGCCUCUGGAAUGUAUAUUGAACUCUGACUAUUCCCAAACUUCCAAUA
rnacentral:lncRNA from 1 species